rnacentral:sRNA from 1 species
ACUGUAGGAAUUAGUCAUGGCCAAGUUCAAGCCAUAGCUUGCCCCGCAGCUCUGUCGGGGCCUCUUUCGUGACAGUGUGGAGCGCUAGGGCAGCUUUGUGGACACCGUGACUCUUUGUUUUGUGGCCUUGGUGCUGACUUCAGAGUAUGAGGCACCUUCGAGGGUGGGGCUACAAUCUCAGCUUCUGGACAUUCCUUUUUUAAAACAUGGAGCCAAGGCCUGUGACCUGAGGCCCCUGUGUCCCUGCAAGUCUCCUUCCUGGCUCUGUGUAUGAGCACAGCCUAAGCUCACUUUAGUGCCAAGGAGGCUGGGGACCUGUCUACACUCUUCGAUGUUGGUGGCAUCAUAGAUGUUCCUGUACAACUACAUUGGCCAGGACGGGAUUGCCAGCUCCAUAGUGAUGCUGAUCAUCUGUGGGGGCCUGGUCAAUGGCCCAUACGCGCUCAUCACCACUGCUGUCUCUGCUGACCUGGGGACUCACAAGAGCCUGAAGGGCAACGCCAAAGCCCUGUCCACGGUCACGGCCAUCAUUGACGGCACCGGCUCCAUAGGUGCGGCUCUGGGGCCUCUGCUGGCUGGGCUCAUCUCCCCCACGGGCUGGAACAAUGUCUUCUACAUGCUCAUCUCUGCCGACGUCCUAGCCUGCUUGCUCCUUUGCCGGUUAGUAUACAAAGAGAUCUUGGCCUGGAAGGUGUCCCUGAGCAGAGGCAGCGGCUCUAGUAUGGUCCUAACCCACCAGUGAUAGUAUUUUCCUCAAGUCCCAUGACUUUUGUGAGUAUUUACUUCGAGUCUGUGACUCGAGUGCCAUUUGAGUGGGGGCUGCAUGCAAAUCCUCUGUCCUGCAGUAUGACUUUUUCCAACUUUCUCUUUCUUCUUGUGGGCCAGUUGUAAAGACUUUCAACCUCAGC